rnacentral:rRNA from 1 species
GAUCAUGGCUCAGGAUGAACGCUAGCUACAGGCUUAACACAUGCAAGUCGAGGGGCAGCAUGUCGGUUGCUUGCAACCGAUGAUGGCGACCGGCGCACGGGUGAGUAACGCGUAUCCAACCUACCCUUGUCCAUCGGAUAACCCGUCGAAAGGCGGCCUAACACGAUAUGCGGUUCACAGCAGGCAUCAAAGGUGAACGAAAUGUGAAGGAGAAGGAUGGGGAUGCGU